ACUGGCAGAACACUGAAGCAGC
rnacentral:miRNA from 1 species